AUCCCUGUAGUUCAACGGAUAGAACUAGUGUUUCCUAAACACUCGAUGUGGGUUCGAUUCCCGCCGGGGAUACCA
rnacentral:tRNA from 1 species